GGACCAAGGGGAUUAGCACUGUUUUCCCAAGACAGGUUAUGUGAUUAUGAUCUUCAGGCUUUGCCUAUCCAGGCUUUGUGGACCAAGGGGAUUAGCACUGUUUUCCCAAGACAGGUUAUGUGAUUAUGAUCUUCAGGCUUUGCCUAUCCAGGUUGAGCAGUUGAUGGAAUGGAAUGAUGUUGAGCGGGUGUUCCUUUGACAUUUCAAGAAAUGUAACCUUGAGUAUACAUCUUCAUAUGUAUAUCUCACACGUUUUCCGCUGCAAAACACUUUGAUUAAGAUAGCUCUAUGAUAUGAAAUUGUGAUACGUGUUAUUGGGUAACCACCUUAAUCAGUUCUCAAUUAUGUGUAUCCAAAUAAUCAUAUAUGAUCCUAGCAUUUUAUCUAUGAGUGACAUUUCCAUAUACUUUAAUGUUAAGUAAUUGUCCAUUUCCAUUUCUUAUUGUUCACCCCAAGUCAUAACCCCGGUUAACCCGUCAUUGGGAUAGUGG